rnacentral:rRNA from 1 species
AUUGAACGCUAGCGGGAUGCUUUACACAUGCAAGUCGAACGGCAGCGCGGACUUCGGUCUGGCGGCGAGUGGCGAACGGGUGAGUAAUGUAUCGGAACGUGCCCAGUAGCGGGGGAUAACUACGCGAAAGCGUAGCUAAUACCGCAUACGCCCUACGGGGGAAAGCAGGGGAUCGUAAGACCUUGCACUAUUGGAGCGGCCGAUAUCGGAUUAGCUAGUUGGUGAGGUAACGGCUCACCAAGGCGACGAUCCGUAGCUGGUUUGAGAGGACGACCAGCCACACUGGGACUGAGACACGGCCCAGACUCCUACGGGAGGAAGCAGUGGGGAAUUUUGGACAAUGGGGGCAACCCUGAUCCAGCCAUCCCGCGUGUGCGAUGAAGGCCUUCGGGUUGUAAAGCACUUUUGGCAGGAAAGAAACGUCGCGGGCUAAUACCCCGUGGAACUGACGGUACCUGCAGAAUAAGCACCGGCUAACUACGUG